UGCCAGACUCCUACGGGAGGCAGCAGUGGGGAAUAUUGCACAAUGGGGGAAACCCUGAUGCAGCGACGCCGCGUGAGCGAUGAAGUAUUUCGGUAUGUAAAGCUCUAUCAGCAGGGAAGAAAAUGACGGUACCUGACUAAGAAGCCCCGGCUAACUACGUGCCAGCAGCCGCGGUAAUACGUAGGGGGCAAGCGUUAUCCGGAUUUACUGGGUGUAAAGGGAGCGUAGACGGCUGUGCAAGCCAGAUGUGAAAGCCCGGGGCUCAACCCCGGGACUGCAUUUGGAACUGUGUGGCUGGAGUGUCGGAGAGGCAGGCGGAAUUCCUAGUGUAGCGGUGAAAUGCGUAGAUAUUAGGAGGAACACCAGUGGCGAAGGCGGCCUGCUGGACGAUGACUGACGUUGAGGCUCGAAAGCGUGGGGAGCAAACAGGAUUAGAUACCCGUGUACC
rnacentral:rRNA from 1 species